CCUACGGGAGGCAGCAGUAGGGAAUAUUGCUCAAUGGGGGAAACCCUGAAGCAGCAACGCCGCGUGGAGGAUGAAGGUUUUCGGAUUGUAAACUCCUUUUGUCAGAGAAGAUAAUGACGGUAUCUAACGAAUAAGCACCGGCUAAAUCCGUGCCAGCAGCCGGGGUAAUGCGGGGGGUGCAGGCGUUACUCGGAAUCACUGGGCGUAAAGGGGGUGUAGGCGGGAUAGCAAGUCAGAUGUGAAAUCCUAUGGCUUAACCAUAGAACUGCAUUUGAAACUGUUAGUCUAGAGUAUGGGAGAGGUAGGUGGAAUUCUUGGUGUAGGGGUAAAAUGCAUAGAGAUCAAGAGGAAUACUCAUUGCGAAGGCGACCUACUGGAACAUAACUGACGCUGAUGCGCGAAGGCGUGGGGAGCGAACAGGAUUAGAUACCCGAGUAGUC
rnacentral:rRNA from 1 species